CCUACGGGAGGCAGCGGUGGGGAAUAUUGCACAAUGGGCGCAAGCCUGAUGCAGCGACGCCGCGUGAAGGAUGACGUAUUUCGGUAUGUAAACUUCUAUCAGCGGGGAAGAAGAUGACGGUACCCGACUAAGAAGCCCCGGCUAACUACGUGCCAGCAGCCGCGGUAAU
rnacentral:rRNA from 1 species